AUUCGGUGGUGAAGUAAAGUACAGACCUCAUCCCAGAAUUAGCUACUACAGGCACCACCAAUUUCUUUUUGAAGACAAGAUCCUGCAGUUAGAAGAACAUGGCAAGUCUGAACUGGAGUUAUCAAGGCAACAAUGGACCCGACCAGUGGCACAAAUUAUACCCUAUUGCCAAUGGAAACCAUCAGUCCCCUAUUAACAUUAAAACCAAAGAAGUCAAAAAAGAUCCAUCUCUGGGGCAUCUCAAGAUCACCUGGAAUUCGAGCACCUGCAAAGAGAUUGUCAAUGUUGGACACUCCUUCCAUGUGAACUUUGAGGACAAGGAUAACCGAUCAGUGGUGACUGGUGGACCUCUGAUUGGAAACUACAGGCUGCAUCAGUUUCACUUUCACUGGGGCCAGACUGACGAUCAUGGCUCUGAGCACACUGUGGACGGAGAAAAAUAUGCCUCAGAGUUUCACCUGGUUCACUGGAAUUCAGACAAAUAUUCAAGUUUUGCUGAGGCUUCAGAUAAGCCUGAUGGUUUGUCAGUCAUUGCUGUUUUUCUGAAGGUUGGUCCCCCCAAUGAACAUGUGCAGGACAUUGUGAAGGCAAUCGGUUCGAUAAAGACUAAGGUAAACGUCACUGCCUGGUCACAGCACUUUAGAGCAGAGGUAAAAAAGCUCCAUUUACUAAUUUUGACCCAUCAACUUUACUUCCUGGAUCCUUGGAUUAUUGGACCUAUUCUGGCUCUUUGACUCAUCCUCCCCUUUUUGAGAGCGUCACCUGGAUUAUCUAUAAGGAGCCCAUUACUAUCAGUUCAGAGCAGCUGGCCCAAUUCCGCAGCCUCACAUUGACCAAUCAUCGACUUCCCCAGCCAUUGAAGGGCAGACAAGUGAGAACCCAAUUCUAGGUAAUUAAGAAUUAGUCAGAAGUGAAAAUAUUUUCUCAAAACCAAUAUAUCUAAGCAAAAGGCCAUGUAACAAUUCACACAAAUUAUUUUAAAAAGUGAAUGUCUGGUUAAGAUACAAUGCUCAUAUCCUGCCAUAUGCUAUUGCUAUUGAUUGUAAUGUAUUUACUGAAAUGAAUCUAUGUUUCUUGUGCAUUGUGAAGCAAAUGCAUUUUAAUGUGUGGCUUUUACCUUAAGUAUUUUAAAAUAUUUUUAGAAUAAUCUUCACAUUUUUACUAAAUUUAUUAAAUAACCUAGAUAUCAUGAUUAUAAAUAGGAAAAUAAAUCCUUUGAAUAAAAUAAUAAAAUAAGUCAGUGUUCAUUCUUAGCUAACUAAUCAAAGAUUUAAUUUAACUGUAGUAAAUAUUUGUUAAUUUUUGCAAAGGAAUCACUUCUGUUAAUGCUAACUUUAGCUGUUAUCAGUUGUUUGCACAAUAAAAAAUAAUAUACUUGUC